GGAAAACUCACCCGGUCCGGACACCGCGAGGAUUGACAGAUUGAUAGCUCUUUCUUGAUUCGGUGGGUGGUGGUGCAUGGCCGUUCUUAGUUGGUGGAGCGAUUUGUCUGGUUGAUUCCGAUAACGAACGAGACUCUGGCCUGCUAAAUAGGCCGUCGGUUUCCCCGGCCCGUCCUGCGCGCGCCGGCGGGACUUCUUAGAGGGACAAGCGGCGUUUAGCCGCGCGAGAUUGAGCAAUAACAGGUCUGUGAUGCCCUUAGAUGUCCGGGGCCGCACGCGCGCUACACUGAAGGGACCAGCGUGGUCACCCCCCUUGCCCGAGAGGGCUGGGAAACCCGUUGAAUCCCCUUCGUGCUAGGGAUCGGGGCUUGUAAUUAUUCCCCGUGAACGAGGAAUUCCCAGUAAGCGCGGGUCAUAAGCCCGCGUUGAUUACGUCCCUGCCCUUUGUACACACCGCCCGUCGCUACUAUCGAUUGAGCGGUUCAGUGAGGGCAUCGGAUCGGUCGCGGCCUGGGGUUCGCGCCCCGGCGCCCGCGCGCCGAGAA
rnacentral:rRNA from 1 species